CGGUGGAGCAUGUGGUUUAAUUCGAUGAUACGCGAGGAACCUUACCUGGACUAGAAUGCAGUUGGACAGGCGUUGAAAGGGCCUUCGCCGUUUAAGGUGUGACGAGCGCAACCCCCAUCACUAGUUGCCAUCGGGACGUCAAGUAUCACGGCCUUUAUGUCCAGGCUACAUACAUGGCGAGUACAAGGGCUGCAACACAGCGAUGUGAAGCUUCCCAAAAAACUCGUCUCAGUUCGGAUUGGAGUGCAACUCGACUCCAUGAAGCUGGAAUCGCUAGUAAUCGGCAUCAGCAAUGGNNCGGUGAAUACGUUCCCGGACCUUGUACACACCGCCGUCAAGCCAUGGGAGCCGGGUGUACCUAAAGGCGAUAACCGCAAGGAGUCGUUCAGGUAAAAUCGGUGACUGGGGCUAAGUCGUACAAGGU
rnacentral:rRNA from 1 species